GACGAACGCUGGCGGCGUGCUUAACACAUGCAAGUCGAACGGAAAGGCCCCGCUUUUGUGGGGUGCUCGAGUGGCGAACGGGUGAGUAACACGUGAGUAACCUGCCCUUGACUUUGGGAUAACUUCAGGAAACUGGGGCUAAUACCGGAUAGGAGCUCCUGGUGCAUGGUGGGGGUUGGAAAGUUUCGGCGGUUGGGGAUGGACUCGCGGCUUAUCAGCUUGUUGGUGGGGUAGUGGCUUACCAAGGUUUUGACGGGUAGCCGGCCUGAGAGGGUGACCGGGCACAUUGGGACUGAGAUACGGCCCAGACUCCUACGGGGGGAAGCAGGGGGGAAUAUUGCACAAUGGGCGGAAGCCUGAUGCAGCAACGCCGCGUGCGGGAUGACGGCCUUCGGGUUGUAAACCGCUUUCGCCUGUGACGAAGCGUGAGUGACGGUAAUGGGUAAAGAAGCACCGGCUAACUACGUG
rnacentral:rRNA from 1 species